rnacentral:rRNA from 1 species
GCCUUAACACAUGCAAGUCGAACGGCAGCACGGACUUCGGUCUGGUGGCGAGUGGCGAACGGGUGAGUAAUGUAUCGGAACGUGCCCAGUAGCGGGGGAUAACUACGCGAAAGCGUAGCUAAUACCGCAUACGCCCUACGGGGGAAAGCAGGGGAUCGUAAGACCUUGCACUAUUGGAGCGGCCGAUAUCGGAUUAGCUAGUUGGUGGGGUAACGGCUCACCAAGGCGACGAUCCGUAGCUGGUUUGAGAGGACGACCAGCCACACUGGGACUGAGACACGGCCCAGACUCCUACGGGAGGCAGCAGUGGGGAAUUUUGGGCCUUAACACAUGCAAGUCGAACGGCAGCACGGACUUCGGUCUGGUGGCGAGUGGCGAACGGGUGAGUAAUGUAUCGGAACGUGCCCAGUAGCGGGGGAUAACUACGCGAAAGCGUAGCUAAUACCGCAUACGCCCUACGGGGGAAAGCAGGGGAUCGUAAGACCUUGCACUAUUGGAGCGGCCGAUAUCGGAUUAGCUAGUUGGUGGGGUAACGGCUCACCAAGGCGACGAUCCGUAGCUGGUUUGAGAGGACGACCAGCCACACUGGGACUGAGACACGGCCCAGACUCCUACGGGAGGCAGCAGUGGGGAAUUU